rnacentral:rRNA from 1 species
GUGUCAGCAGCCGCGGUAAUACGUAGGGUGCGAGCGUUAAUCGGAAUUACUGGGCGUAAAGCGUGCGCAGGCGGUUCGUUAAGUUCGUUGUGAAAGCCCCGGGCUCAACCUGGGAACGGCAAUGGAAACUGGCGGGCUCGAGUGCGGCAGAGGGGGGUGGAAUUCCACGUGUAGCAGUGAAAUGCGUAGAGAUGUGGAGGAACACCGAUGGCGAAGGCAACCCCCUGGGCUGACACUGACGCUCAGGCACGAAAGCGUGGGGAGCAAACAGGAUUAGAUACCCUGGUAGUCCACGCCCUAAACGAUGAGCACUGGGUGUUGGGGAAGCGAUUCCCUAGUACCGCAGCUAACGCGUGAAGUGCUCCGCCUGGGGAGUACGGCCGCAAGGUUAAA